CUAAGUUGGGCACUUUAGAGAGACUGCCGGUGUUAAAGCCGGAGGAAGUGGGGAUGACGUCAAGUCCUCAUGGCCUUUAUGUCUAGGGCUACACACGUGCUACAAUGGGUGGUACAAAGAGCAGCUAACUCGCGAGAGUAUGCAAAUCUCAAAAAGCCAUCCUCAGUUCGGAUUGGAGUCUGCAACUCGACUCCAUGAAGUUGGAAUCGCUAGUAAUCGCGGAUCAGCAUGCCGCGGUGAAUACGUUCCCGGGCCCUU
rnacentral:rRNA from 1 species